rnacentral:lncRNA from 1 species
GCGAAACCCGAAGACGCCUUGCAGGGUAAGAACUGAAGCCACCAAAAGGCUUACUAUACCACACAACACCCAAGCCUUGUUUUGGGGCAUGGGGACAGUGGAUCUAUGGCUCCUCAGGGUGCCAACCAAUUGAAGAAGGAAGCCAGCUCCACUCAACAGCCUCUACAAAGGAAGGGCCACAGGGGAGGGGCUUCAGUGGUUCCAGGCAGCUGCUUCAUUCACAACAGAAUGGCCAUUUUCUCCAGCAUGGCCAACUAUCCCUAGUCUUUUUGUCACGACAGCCUAGAAGGCAGAAGCUAGGGCCAAGGCUGCUGCUAAGGAAUUCCUACUCCUACUGGGGCCUAAUGUCAGGCUUUCCUUAUAUUGUGGAGGGGGCCCUGGAGGAUAGUUAGAGACUCUCUUCCUUUCUGCUGGGCACCCUGAAGAGGAGCAAGAGGAUCUGGUGAGCAAAAUGAAG